UACACCGCAGGGUCCAUGUGAGGCAGAGAUCCCUGCACCUGGUCUCUUGGAGUCCGUCCGAGCGAGAUCUUCACGGCGCUUACCUUUCAGAUGUUGGACACAAAACGAAAAUCACUGACAGCCCUUUAAACACGUUGCUGGUGAAGCUCGGGGCAAAGUGCAGUUCUGACCAGUAAUGCGCAAUAAUCCUGCCUUCAUGCCUGUGAUCGGAAGGUUGCUGGUUCAAAUCUCAAGGUGAACCCUCACGACUCUGCCGGCUGAGACUCUCCUCGUGAUAAGGAUGGACAACCACACACACCAUGGGAAAACAGGAACUCUAUUUAAUGAACAGACACACACUAUCGAAGAAUGGCCAGAACUGCCCUGUAUCAAAAGAGAUGGCAAGAAGGGGGCCUUAUUACGUGGAACUGCACUCUAACACGUCCCCUAGUGUUUUUGUGAAGAAGCUCAUGUGUGGGACCCUCAAGGUCUACAAGGGCCCUUUUCCUAGCACCUCAUUCAAGUCACUGUAUUUAUACUCUUAUUGACUGUAAGCUUAUUUGCACACACCUAAAAUUGCUUGUGCUCAACAUCUGGUCAUCUGACCCCUAUUUACAUGUUUACUUGUUUAU